UACGUAGGCAGCGAGCGUUGUUCGGAGUUACUGGGCGUAAAGAGUGCGUAGGCGGUUUUCUAAGUUUGGUGUGAAAUCUCCCGGCUUAACUGGGAGGGUGCGCCGAAGACUGGAAGGCUUGAGUAUGGGAGAGGUAAGCGGAAUUCCUGGUGUAGUGGUGAAAUGCGUAGAUAUCGGGGGGAACACCAGUGGCGAAGGCGGCUCUCUGGGGUGCACCUGACGCUGAUGCGCGAAAGCGUGGGGAGCGAACCGG
rnacentral:rRNA from 1 species